CCUACGGGUGGCAGCAGUAGGGAAUCUUCCGCAAUGGGCGAAAGCCUGAUGCAGCGACGCCGCGUGAGUGAUGAAGGUCUUCGGAUCGUAAACCUCUGUUAGUAGGGAAGAACGGUCACUGUGCUAACUAGCCGUGAAUCGACGGUACCUGCUAAGGAAGCACCGGCUAACUACGUGCCAGCAGCCGCGGUAAUACGUAGGUGGCGAGCGUUAUCCGGAAUUAUUGGGCGUAAAGCGCACGUAGGCGGUCUGUUAAGUCUGAUGUGAAAUCCCUGGGCUUAACCGGAGAAGUGCCUUAGAAACUGGCAAACUGGAGUGUAGAAGAGGAGAGUGGAAUUCCAGGUGUAGGGGUGAAAUGCGUAGAUAUAUGGAAGAACAUCAGUGGCGAAGGCGGCUAUCUGGGACGUAACUGACGCUGAGGUGCGAAAGCGUGGGUAGCAAACAGGAUUAGAUACCCUAGUAGUC
rnacentral:rRNA from 1 species